GGGCGGCGUUUGGUGGCGGUGGGUGCUGAGCCCCAGUAGUGGGAGCAGCACCGCGAUUCACGUCUGUGUGUCCGUGUAUCUCCCUGUCCAUGUGUCUCUGUUUGUUUCUACCUGCCCGUGCAUCCCUGAGCCUGAAUUCCCGUUGUAGUUCCUGCAGACCCCAUUGCUGCCCCCACCGUGGGCUCUCCAUGUCCCCGCAGCCCCCGGAGGCAGCUCAGGGCCCCCCACGACCCCUCCAGCUCUCCCUUCUGUCCCAGCUGCCCUCUCCCUGCUGCGUGCCCCCCA
rnacentral:lncRNA from 1 species